UUACGGCUACAUCAGGUUGAAACACCUGUUCCCGUACGAUCACCGAAGUUAAGCAACGUUGAGCCUGAUCAGUACCUAGAUCGAUCACCGCUUGCGAAUACCAGGUGCUGUAA